UACGGAGGAUGCAAGCGUUAUCCGGAAUUAUUGGGCGUAAAGCGUCCGCAGGUGGCACUUCAAGUCUGUCGUCAAAGACUGGGGCUUAACCCUGGAAAGGCGGUGGAAACUGAAGCGCUAGAGUGCGGUAGGGGUAGAGGGAAUUCCCGGUGUAGCGGUGAAGUGCGUAGAGAUCGGGAAGAACAUCGGUGGCGAAAGCGCUCUACUGGACCGCAACUGAUACUCAGGGACGAAAGCUAGGGGAGCGAAUGGG
rnacentral:rRNA from 1 species